rnacentral:rRNA from 2 species
CGGGGUGCUAAUACAUGCAAGUCGAACGCGUUGGCCCAAUUGAUUGAUGGUGCUUGCACCUGAUUGAUUUUGGUCGCCAACGAGUGGCGGACGGGUGAGUAACACGUAGGUAACCUGCCCAGAAGCGGGGGACAACAUUUGGAAACAGAUGCUAAUACCGCAUAACAGCGUUGUUCGCAUGAACAACGCUUAAAAGAUGGCUUCUCGCUAUCACUUCUGGAUGGACCUGCGGUGCAUUAGCUUGUUGGUGGGGUAACGGCCUACCAAGGCGAUGAUGCAUAGCCGAGUUGAGAGACUGAUCGGCCACAAUGGGACUGAGACACGGCCCAUACUCCUACGGGAGGCAGCAGUAGGGAAUCUUCCACAAUGGGCGCAAGCCUGAUGGAGCAACACCGCGUGAGUGAAGAAGGGUUUCGGCUCGUAAAGCUCUGUUGUUAAAGAAGAACACGUAUGAGAGUAACUGUUCAUACGUUGACGGUAUUUAACCAGAAAGUCACGGCUAACUACGUGCCAGCAGCCGCGGUAAUACGUAGGUGGCAAGCGUUAUCCGGAUUUAUUGGGCGUAAAGAGAGUGCAGGCGGUUUUCUAAGUCUGAUGUGAAAGCCUUCGGCUUAACCGGGAGAAGUGCAUCGGAAACUGGAUAACUUGAGUGCAAAGAGGGUAGUGGAACUCCAUGUGUAGCGGUGGAAUGCGGUAGAUAUAUGGAAGAACACCAGUGGCGAAGGCGGGUACCUGGUCUGCAA